GACGAACGCUGGCGGCGUGCUUAACACAUGCAAGUCGAACGGGCCUGCCCUUUUUUGGGUGGGUUAGUGGGGCAACGGGGAGUAUCCCCUUGGUUAACCUGCCCCCUGCCCCUGGUUAACGCCUUGAAAGGGGUGUAAAUACGGGGGUUGUUGUGCCUGCCGCAGGUUGUUGCGGGGUAGGUUUCCCCUUUUUUUGGGGUUUUUGUGGGGGGUGGGGCUGGCGGCCUAUGAGCUUGUUGGUGGGGGGAUGGCCUACCAAGGCGGUGACGGGUAGCCGGCCUGAGAGGGUGGACGGCCACACUGGGACUGAGACACGGCCCAGACUCCUGCGGGAGGCAGCAGUGGGGGGUAUUGCGCAAUGGGCGGAAGCCUGACGCAGCGACGCCGCGUGAGGGACGGAGGCCUUCGGGUUGUGAACCUCUUUCGCCGGUGGAGAAGGCGCCCCCGUGUGGGGUGCUGACUGUAGCCGGGUUAAGAAGCGCCGGCUAACUACGUG
rnacentral:rRNA from 1 species